GAGGCAUGCAAGGGCUGUCGCUGACUUUUUAAUCACAAAAAGUCGUGCACGCCGGAGCGUGUCCUCUCGCAUAAAAUCCAUCUCACCCUUUUGUGCACCACCGCGUGGGCACCCUUCGGGAUCGAACCGAUCCAGGAGGGCGCUUGCGUUUUCACACAAACCCCCUUAUAAAAGUGUAGAAUGACCCCAUUUUUGCGAUAACACGCAAUCAAUACAACUUUCAACAACGGAUCUCUUGGCUCUCGCAUCGAUGAAGAACGCAGCGAAAUGCGAUACGUAAUGUGAAUUGCAGAAUUCAGUGAAUCAUCGAAUCUUUGAACGCACCUUGCGCCCCUUGGUAUUCCGAGGGGCACACCCGUUUGAGUGUCGUGAAAAUCUCAACCUCCUCGGUUUCUUCUGGACGCCGAAGGAGGCUUGNACUUUGGAGGCCUUUGCUGGCGUCUCUCGCCAGCUCCUCUCAAAUGAAUUAGCGGGGUCCUCUUUGCCGAUCCUCGACGUGUGAUAAGAUGUUUCCAUGUCUUGGUUUCUGGCUCUGUCGCCUUUGGGACCGCUUCUAACCGUUUCAAGUCGAGACAACGUUGAGCGUGUCUCCCUCUCGGGAAACACCCUCGAGCCCACGNNCCCUUGA
rnacentral:rRNA from 1 species